rnacentral:rRNA from 1 species
GAUGAACGCUAGCGGGAGGCUUAACACAUGCAAGUCGAGGGGUAAAUGGUAGCAAUACUAUGAGACCGGCGGACGGGUGCGUAACGCGUAUGCAACAUACCUUGUGCAGGGGGAUAGCCCGUGGAAACGCGGAUUAAUAUUCCAUAGUCCAGCUAUAUCGCAUGGUAUAGUUGGUAAAGAUUUAUCGGCACAAGUUUGGCAUGCGUCUGAUUAGCUUGUUGGUAGGGUAACGGCCUACCAAGGCUACGAUCAGUAGGGGUUCUGAGAGGAUUAACCCCCACACUGGUACUGAGACACGGACCAGACUCCUACGGGAGGCAGCAGUGAGGAAUAUUGGUCAAUGGGCGGAAGCCUGAACCAGCCAUCCCGCGUGAAGGAAGACAGCCUUACGGGUUGUAAACUUCUUUUCUGUCAGAAGAAUAAGCUUGUCGAGACGAGUGAUGCCGGUAUGACAGGAAUAAGCAUCGGCUAACUCCGUGCCAGCAGCCGCGGUAAACACG